AUUGAACGCUGGCGGCAUGCCUUACACAUGCAAGUCGAACGGCAGCAUGAUCUAGCUUGCUAGAUUGAUGGCGAGUGGCGAACGGGUGAGUAAUACAUCUGAACGUGCCCUGUAGUGGGGGAUAACUAGUCGAAAGAUUAGCUAAUACCGCAUACGACCUGAGGGUGAAAGUGGGGGACCGCAAGGCCUCAUGCUAUAGGAGCGGCCGAUGUCUGAUUAGCUAGUUGGUGAGGUAAAGGCUCACCAAGGCGACGAUCAGUAGCUGGUCUGAGAGGACGAUCAGCCACACUGGGACUGAGACACGGCCCAGACUCCUACGGGAGGCAGCAGUGGGGAAUUUUGGACAAUGGGCGAAAGCCUGAUCCAGCAAUGCCGCGUGUGUGAAGAAGGCCUUCGGGUUGUAAAGCACUUUUGUCCGGAAAGAAAUGGCUCUGGUUAAUACCUGGGGUCGAUGACGGUACCGGAAGAAUAAGGACCGGCUAACUACGUG
rnacentral:rRNA from 1 species